rnacentral:rRNA from 1 species
AGCAACGCGAAGAACCUUACCAGGUCUUGACAUCCUCUGACAACCCUAGAGAUAGGGCUUUCCCUUCGGGGGCAGAGUGACAGGUGGUGCAUGGUUGUCGUCAGCUCGUGUCGUGAGAUGUUGGGUUAAGUCCCGCAACGAGCGCAACCCUUGAUCUUAGUUGCCAGCAUUUAGUUGGGCACUCUAAGGUGACUGCCGGUGACAAACCGGAGGAAGGUGGGGAUGACGUCAAAUCAUCAUGCCCCUUAUGACCUGGGCUACACACGUGCUACAAUGGACGGUACAAAGAGUCGCAAGGCCGCGAGGUGGAGCUAAUCUCAUAAAACCGUUCUCAGUUCGGAUUGUAGGCUGCAACUCGCCUACAUGAAGCUGGAAUCGCUAGUAAUCGCGGAUCAGCAUGCCGCGGUGAAUACGUUCCCGGGCCUUGUACACACCGCCCGUCACACCACGAGAGUUUGUAACACCCGAAGUCGGUGGGGUAACCCUUACGGGAGCCAGCCGCCUAAGGUGGGAC